AACUCUGGCCAAAUCACCCAGAAGACACCCGAUCUCAUCAAAUAUCGGAAGCUAAGCAGAAGUGAGCCUGAACAGUGCUUGGAUGGGCCAACACCAUGCAUGAUAGGUUGCUAUCGGCU
rnacentral:rRNA from 1 species